rnacentral:rRNA from 1 species
AGCGAACGUUUGCGGCGGGCUUAACACAUGCAAGUCGAACGAGAAUCCCUUCGGGGAGGAAAGUGGCGCACGGGUGCGUAACACGUGGAUAACCAACCCAUUGGUUUGGGACAACACCGGGAAACUGGUGCUAAUACCAGAUGUGUCGCAGCUGUCUUCAGGCGGUUGCGAGAAAGGCCCGCAAGGGUCGCCAACGGACGGGUCCGCGUCCCAUCAGCUAGUUGGUGAGGUAAUGGCUCACCAAGGCAAAGACGGGUAGCUGGUCUGAGAGGAUGGCCAGCCACACUGGAACUGAGACACGGUCCAGACUCCUACGGGAGGCAGCAGUGGGGAAUCUUGCGCAAUGGGCGAAAGCCUGACGCAGCGACGCCGCGUGGGCGAAGAAGGCCUCGG